rnacentral:misc_RNA from 1 species
AACUAACGCUAUAUAAGUAUCAGUUUCUGUACUUUAUUGGGUAUGCGAAACUUCCAAAGUCUCUGCCUUGGCAAUAUUUUGGGAGCGCGGAAGCGCUG